GUACCGGCACACAUAUCACAAUAGCCUUCCAUCUUUUUUUCUUCUCAAUGGAAGCUCAAUGAAAUAAGAAAGAAAAUCUCAUUUCUUGGUCCAUACACCAGCUACCUUUGUAGUGAAUAUAUAUAUAUAUAUUGACCAGAAAUGAAAGGGUAACGAACAUAUGUACAGAAGACUGUUUUGAAAGGGUCACAUAUACGGUGCCCAGCCCAGGUACAUCUGGCUCAGAAGGUUCUCGUCAGUAGCUUCUUGGAUCAGGUAGUGAACGUGUCCUUCAAUGGACAGCGGGAGUCCUUUCACACGAUUCCGAGUCUUAAUUACUCCCUGUAAGCGCUGUUCUAUGUCCAGCACAUGUGUUUUAGCCUGCAGAUGGGGAAAAAAAAGCAUUUAAAAUAUUCCACACGUUUCUAGAGAGACUGAUUUAUCUGUCAUACGAUUCCUUCUAAUGUAAUAUCACAAUAGCUUCUACCUCAAUAAAAGUUUCUGCACGA